rnacentral:lncRNA from 1 species
AUGUCUGGAAGAGGUAAGGGAGGAAAGGGUUUGGGAAAGGGUGGAGCAAAGCGUCAUCGCAAAGUUCUGAGAGAUAACAUUCAAGGAAUCACCAAACCUGCUAUUCGUCGUCUUGCAAGGCGUGGUGGUGUGAAGCGUAUAAGUGGACUGAUCUAUGAAGAGACUCGCGGUGUUCUCAAGAUCUUUCUCGAGAAUGUUAUUCGUGAUGCUGUCACUUACACCGAACAUGCUCGCCGUAAAACAGUGACCGCUAUGGAUGUUGUUUAUGCACUCAAGAGGCAAGGAAGGACCUUGUAUGGUUUUGGGGGUUAG